rnacentral:misc_RNA from 1 species
GAAAUGCGAUAAGUAAUGUGAAUUGCAGAAUUCAGUGAAUCAUCGAAGCUUUGAACGCACAUUGCGCCCGCCAGCACUCUGGCGGGCAUGCCUGUUCGAGCGUCAUUUCAACCCUCAGAACCCCUUGCGGGAUCUGGCGUUGGGGAUUGGCAUCCAGCCAGCCCCGAAAUCUAGUGGCGGUCCCUCCGCGACCUCCCCUGUGCAGUAGCGAUACCUCGCAGCGGGACAGCGGUCUGACCACGCCGUAAAACCCCCAACUUCUCACGGUUGACCUCGAAUCAGGUAGGAAUACCCGCUGAACUUAAGC